UAAAAAAGAAGCGAUUAUAUUGCAAUCAGUUUCGGCCUGAUCCUAGGACUAAUUUUCCCUUUUUUAU
rnacentral:tRNA from 1 species